UGUCAUUUCUCAAUGUAAAAUCUUCAGUUUAGUUCCACUCACCUCUGCUCUUCUGGCAGAUACUGUACUGACUCUGAUAUCUCUAACUCUGAUGACCUCCUCGAACUCUCGGGUCCAAUCCUACACAAAUGGACUCGAAUGAGGUGUCACACAUACUUUGAAUAACUCUUAAACAAAUCCCCAUAAUCCCCUCUAAACCUCUG
rnacentral:lncRNA from 1 species